UACGAAGGGGGCUAGCGUUGUUCGGAAUUACUGGGCGUAAAGGGCGCGUAGGCGGUGUGUCAAGUCAGGCGUGAAAGCCCCGGGCUCAACCUGGGAACCGCGCUUGAGACUGGCACGCUAGAGUUCGGGAGAGGAUGGCGGAAUUCCCAGUGUAGAGGUGAAAUUCGUAGAUAUUCGCAAGAACACCAGUGGCGAAGGCGGCUCACUGGCCCGGUACUGACGCUGAGGUGCGAAAGCGUGGGGAGCAAACAGG
rnacentral:rRNA from 1 species